GUCAUCCUUCCCUUUCAAUUUUAGCCGUUUAUUUCUUUUCCUUUUUGCCUGUGUUUGCCGUUUUCGUUUCCACCUCUUGAAGGCUCCAUACGUUUUCGUUCUUCAAUCUUCCACCUCUUCGAAAGUCUUCCGUUUUCGUUUCUCCCCUGACUCUGCCGCUUCAUUCUCUGCAGCCCCAUUCCAGCGAGAUAAGAUCCUGAAUCCGGUAAGAACUAUUUCAGCCAUCAUAUCUCGCUUCCACCUCCCACUGAAUCUGCCGCCAAACCAACCUUCCACCUCAAUAAAACCCAAAUCAACACAACCUCCUUCAACACCCAAAGUUGCUGCAUCAUUCCUUCUUCCUCAGCCGAGCCAUCGCUGCCACCGCUUCCUCUUUCCCCAGCCAAACCACCUUCCCUUUCUCCUCCCUUCACUAACCUUCGACAUUGGUUAGUGUUAAACUGUGGACUCCAUCCAUCAUUACCUUUUAUGUUUUCUUCCACACUUAUCUUAUUGACUGUCUCAGUGACCUAAUAUUUCUCCAUUCCAGUCGAAGAUUUUAAUUGUUACUUUAGGACAAUGGGAAACAAAUUUGUUUAUGUGUAGUUCCUUUCUCUCGCUUUCCACCAUCUGAUAAUUUUCCAGGUCUGUUUGUCGUUUUCUUUCUUUUAAUUUACCUUCCACCUUUUAAGUUUCCCUGAUUGAGAUUGGGUUAUUUUUUUAAUUUUUUGUUUCCGCCGGUACUUCUCGAUUAGGCGCAUCUGGAAGUUGAACAAGAGAUUGGUUGCAAUUCGUUUUUACAGCAAUUGGUUGUCGUGGUUUUGUUGCUUCAGGUUAUCAUCUCCCCUUGAUUCCUUCUGGGUACAAAAAAGAGAUAUUUCACCUAGAAAAGUAAUGAGAGAGAUGAAGUUGAACAAUAAGAGAUUGGCGCAGAUCCUUAAACAUUUUUGUGCAUGGAUUCUAAAGUGUCUGAUGACAGUAAUGGGGAAUAUGCCGCCAUCUUUUGGGUAAUUUUAUAUAACUAAUUUUGUUCUGCAAUUGAAAUUCUUUUGUAGUCAUAUUAAAUGCUUAAUUCUGCUUUGUGAUCUGAAGUAUUUAACUACUAAAAGUGGCCUUUCUCUUCUGUUGUUUGGAUCUGAAACUGCAUUGAUUAUUUUUUUGUGGGGUAUUGUUAUUGAGACCCAGCUAUUUGAACCCCCCUUUAAAUUGCAAAAACACUUUUUUACGCACUUUCGAAGUGCGACCAUAACGCAUUUUAGAGGUGCGUCCAUAACGCACUUUCAAAGUGCGUCGGUAACGCACUUUCAAAAACACUUUCAAAGUGCGAGCGAAAAUUGAAAAUAGUUGUGCGGGGGGUCUAAAUAGAGGUCGGGGGGUCCUAAUAACAAUUCCCUUUUUUGUGUUACUACCAUCUAUUAGUAUUUUGUAAAAUUCCAUUGAAUUUGUGAUUCUUUAGCACUAAGGUAUUGUCAUUUAAAGAACCGGAGGCUGAUUGCUAACUUGGAUGAGCAAAGAGAAGGUCUUUGUCAUUUAAAAACAUGUGGUCACUGCUGCGGUAAUGCUAGAACUUAUUUUGACUCAUAGUAAGUGAUGAUCAUUCUUAAUUAGACUUUUUAUAUUACAACAUUGCUCAAGUCCUUAAGGAAAUCAAUAUAAUCAUGCUGAAUGGUUUCCAAAAGCUUUUCCUCACAUGUUCUCUCUCUCUAGCUGGACUAAACAAACGAACAGAGGAACCUUUUUAAAGAUAUAGAUAAAUACUAUUUUUAUGGUGAAGAUUAUUUGGAAGAGUUGAUAAUAUUUGAAUUUUUUUUAUUGUCAAUAUUGAUAUGAAGGGUAACUCUUGAUUUAAAAGGGUUUUUCUUUAUCCGAGAUGCCUUUUUUCUUUCUUCAUGUUAGCAUCUUUGAAUCUUAUAGUAAAUGUUGUUGCAAAGGAAGUCUUCAGGUUUUCAGGUUUGAUUAAGAUUUUUCAUUCGUUGAGCUGUGGUUGGAACAUUUGGGGAAAAUAAAUCGCAAAUGUUCCUAACGAAAGACUAGAUAAAAUAGUAGUCUUUGGAAUUAGAAGGAUUAAGAUAAUAUUGGUUGGUGAGUCUAAGAUAUAGUAACUAUAGAUGAUGAAGAAACAUAAAAAGUGAUUAAUUUGUAACGGAUGCGUGAGAUUAAAAGCUAUUAAUUUUUAACGUGUGAAGAAACAUUAAAAGUGAUUUUGUAACAGAUGAGAGACAUUACAAGUUAUUAAUUUAUAACAGGUGAGAGGUGGAUUUAGUUUUAUGCAACCAUUAGCUAAUUAGAAGAGCUGAAGAUGAAUAAUAUUUAGAUAAUAGAUAGAAUGUGAGUAAAAUGGAACUCUAAUGCUAACCUAACCUUCUUCAAUCUCAGGUUUCCUGUAGUUCCAGAUUUUUAUUUUAUUUAUAAAAAGGCAUAAUUAUAACAAAAAUCAAUUAAAAUCGAAAUGAUGUGGCUGCUUGGUUUUUCAUGUUAUUUGACACUGCAACUCCUCCAUCUAUUAGAUUUUUUAGGUUGUUUGCAGAUGACUUCUCUCUACUCUCAGACUUUUUACUCAUUAAAACACAACUGCUAAAUAUGCAUGCUUCCCAACAGCAGCCUCAAGGUCAGAGCUCUCAAGAUCAUAAAAUUCACUACAAUGGUUUUGGAACUUUAAGAGCUUAAUGUGGCUUUCAUGAGUGUCUUUGCAUUCAGCAAUUGGGUUUGUGCCUGUCUUUUGUGCUGAAAUAUAUUUGCAGGAAAAGUCCAACGAUUUCUUUUUAGGGACGCAUACUAAAGGAUUGGUAUAUAUGAUACUGACCGAGACAAGACACAUAGACACAUACUGUAAUAUGAAGCUUGCUGAUUUUUAUUGGCACGAACAUUUUUUAAUGAGUUCAAUGCAAACCUUAUAAAAAUUGUGGAUUCUCUUUCUGAAUCUUAUGAAGGUUGGUGUUGCUAUGAUUUACAAAAAAAGAGCCCUUUGUUAAAUUACUAGCAUGUAGCUCUGCAGAGCGUCUCUGGCUGAAUCAAGUCUGGCCAUUAGAUAUUGUUAAUAAAAUGUAGUUCAGGUUCUAA